rnacentral:rRNA from 1 species
UACAGGGGUGCAAACGUUGCUCGGAAUCAUUGGGCGUAAAGCGCACGUAGGCGGUUCGUUAUGUCGGAUGUGAAAGCCCUUGGCUUAACCGAGGAAGUGCAUCCGAAACUGGCGAGCUAGAGUACUAAAGAGGAUCGCGGAAUUCCCGGUGUAGAGGUGAAAUUCGUAGAUAUCGGGAGGAACACCAGUGGCGAAGGCGGCGACCUGGGCCAAUACUGACGCUGAGGUGCGAAAGCGUGGGAGCAAACAGG